AGCAGCGCUGCCAGGAGCCCGCCGAUCGCCACGCCGCCGAUGGCGGCCGCCAGCGCGUAGAGGUGCGGGGAGAGCGCGGCCCGCGGCGGCCCUGCGGGAGGUGCGGUGCGGUGAGGGGGCGGCGGUGUCACACCGCGGCGGGGCCGCCGCGCCCGCCGCUGUCCCCGGUGCGGCUGGGCGAGGGGACCUCAGCCCGGGCUGUGCCAAGCGGGCCGGAGCCGCUCCGUGCACCGCCGGUAGCGGGAGUCCCUCGGGCUGGUGAAAGCUUCCAAUAACCGCUGACUUUGCUUUACGACCCAGUGGAACUUUCAACCGCGGCCAAAACACGGAUGAACUGUGAAGGCUGGGGCUGAGAUCGUUGUUAACAUUUUCAUCCCCAUUAAGGCGCGAUCAGAAAGCAAACAUCAGGCAAUACAUGAACGCUGGAAGGCCUGUGGAUGGGCGGCCGAGAGGGCAGCUCCUGCCUGUUUGACAGGCCCGGGGUUUGCUCCUAGCAGCAAUGCAAAAUGCGAAAUGCGGCAGCCAGUUUCAGUCUCUGGUCUGCAGACUGUUUGCCAGCCUGUCCCUCCUAGUGCAAAUCGUGUGUGUUUCACCAGGGGGCUUGCUCACCUGUGGCAGCGGGAGGCCUCUCUGAAAUGACAUCGUUCCUGGCGGAUAGCGUUGCUGUGGGCAGAUCUGCCAAGACAUAAGGGUGAACGCACUGCAAGGUGUCCCAGAGCUCCCCUGCAGUGUCAGCCGGAGCAGCCUUUUCCUGGUGAAGCCACUGCAGCGAGGCAGGGAGUGAUCUCUGCCUGGGCAGUCUGCAUUAUCUAAGGCUAUCACUUCUGAGAGAGGAUCUGCAGCCCCAGAGGGCCAGCAUGUGGACUCGUCUCACUGACAGCCUGUGCUAUUUGCAUGCCAGCAGGGUGGAACCAGCCCUUCCCUGCUGCCCGGGUCACUCACCUCCCAGCACGCGGGGAGCCUCGCUGCCUUCCGAGACCUCCAGAUGACUUGACAGGUGUAGUGUCCGCUGUCAGGGAUUUCAAGGUUCGUGAUAUGGAGUGAGGCAUCCCCUGGGCUGCGCUUUGGGACACUGACCCGGUCUCGGAACCGAGCCAACAAGAUGUGGUCUCCAGAUUCAUCCCUCCGAAAGAUGGUGGAGAUGCUGUGGUCUCGCUCCAUGCUCCAGGCACUAAGGAAGAAAUAUUAACAGCAUCUGGCACAAAGAGGUCCUUUGCUACUUCAGAAUAUAAGAUCAACAUGCUACCAGAAAUCUUGAGAUCUCAUCAAAAAACUUGAUAGGGCAUGUAAGUUUGAGAACUACAGGAUAUCUAUGAGGACCAGAGGUAAACAACCAUUUCAAAUGUAAGCUGGAUAGAGCAGAGAAACAUGCUGAGCAUCACCAACAUAGCACUAGAAUGGAAGUUAUGGAGAUGUCCCCCAUUCCAAACAGCGUUUAGAUGGAGCUGAAGAAACCUGUUUGAAUGAGCAGCUGGACACUGCACAGCAGGAGCAGCCCCUGCUGGGGCACUGCUGCCCCUAGGCUCAGCCAGGGACAGCUGGCAGGACAGGAGAGCGGCCGAGGAGGGCACGCUGGAGACUCACUCCCUCGGUAUCUGGGAGAAUUUCUGACAUUGGAGACUAUUUUCCCCUGAGGAAAAAGUGACUUCUCUGACUUUUCCAGUCUUCCUCCACCUAUUUUGAUUUAUGUGUGGUUUGGUUAAGUGUCUUCACGAUUCAGGUACCAGAGCUGCUGCAGGUAGAUGUGAGCAUUGUACCAGCCCCAGCCCCAAAAGCCCUCAAAGUUAAAACCAAGCUGGGCACACACAAUACAUUCAAGUUCUCCAGAACAGCCCACUCACCUUCUUUGGGCUUUCUAAUACAAACAAUAAUGAAAAUGAAGAGGAAAACCACAGCACCACACAACACAGCAAUCAGGAUGACCAUGUACAGAGACAGGUGAGUCUUCUGGAGACCUAGAAGAGUACAGCACAGGACUUUCAAAUAGAGAAGCCCUCCCAGGUUGCAAUAGCAGCAGCACUUACAUGAUGCUGACCAUCUCCUGGAGGCUGCUCAGCCAACCUUUGAAAUGGGCACACAAGAUUGUACUACACAUUUGUGUCCCUGCUCAGACUUAAAGAUCAGGCAGCCAGACUUACAGUGCAUGCAUCUUGCUGAGAGGCUAGGGCCAUAAAGAUGACAUGCAGUCUCUUACUCAGAGACACUGAGGCUGCAGCUGUGAGCUGGGCAGAAGAGUUUCAGCGCAAGUCAUAAAACAGAGCCUCAACCCGUAUCAUCAUCCCUUUUCAUUCAAGGAUGCUGCCCAAUUGUAUUUGGAUCACGUUUAAACCCACCAUGGCACUGCAUAUCUAGAUGAGGUAUGGGACGUAGUUGCUCACAGGCUUUGCUGCUGCUCCAACUUUGACACUCAAAAGACAAGAAUGGAUUACUGUUUGGGAAUGCAACAAGGGCCCUGGAUGUUCCAGUUAUGAAAUUAUUUUCCCCCCUAGAAAACAUCCAGUUUAUUUUAAGAGUCAGUGUAAAACAUCCAGGUCCCUUGAGAACAGCUAAUAAUACCAUUUGCAGCUAAAAUGCAGAAUGCUAAUUUUGGGGUGGAAGAUACUGACUACCAAGCGGUCAGUUUGGGUCCCUAAUCUUGUUCCUAGUUUCAUUUCUCUCUCCACUUACUCUGAGUUGUAUAAUUCUUUUCUGUAUAACCCACACCUUUCUCAGAAUUCACUACUGUUAUGGUCAAAUCUGCAAAACAAAAACAAGAAUGAAAAUCUCACAAUAUAUU